GGGGAAUAUUGGACAAUGGGCGAAAGCCUGAUCCAGCCAUGCCGCGUGUGUGAAGAUGGCCUUUUGGUUGUAAAGCACUUUAAGCGAGGAGGAGGAGCUUCAGGUUAAUACCCUGGAUGCUUGGACGUUACUCGCAGAAUAAGCACCGGCUAACUCUGUGCCAGCAGCCGCGGUAAUACAGAGGGUGCAAGCGUUAGUCGGAUUUACUGGGCGUAAAGCGUGCGUAGGCGGCUAAUUAAGUCAAAUGUGAAAUCCCCGAGCUUAACUUGGGAAUUGCAUUCGAUACUGGUUAGCUAGAGUAUGGGAGAGGAUGGUAGAAUUCCAGGUGUAGCGGUGAAAUGCGUAGAGAUCUGGAGGAAUACCGAUGGCGAAGGCAGCCAUCUGGCCUAAUACUGACGCUGAGGUACGAAAGCAUGGGGAGCAAAC
rnacentral:rRNA from 1 species